AGUCUGACGGAGCAACGCCGCGUGAGUGACGAAGGUUUUCGGAUCGUAAAACUCUGUUGUGAGGGAAGAACAAGUACCAACUAACUACUGGUACCUUGACGGUACCUCACCAGAAAGCCACGGCUAACUACGUGCCAGCAGCCGCGGUAAUACGUAGGUGGCAAGCGUUGUCCGGAAUUAUUGGGCGUAAAGCGCGCGCAGGCGGUCCCUUAAGUCUGAUGUGAAAGCCCACGGCUCAACCGUGGAGGGUCAUUGGAAACUGGGGGACUUGAGUGCAGAAGAGGAAAGUGGAAUUCCACGUGUAGCGGUGAAAUGCGUAGAGAUGUGGAGGAACACCAGUGGCGAAGGCGACUUUCUGGUCUGUAACUGACGCUGAGGCGCGAAAGCGUGGGGAGCAAACAGGAUUAGAUACCCUGGUAGUCCACGCCGUAAACGAUGAGUGCUAAGUGUUAGGGGGUUUCCGCCCCUUAGUGCUGCAGCUAACGCAUUAAGCACUCCGCCUGGG
rnacentral:rRNA from 1 species